rnacentral:rRNA from 1 species
GUGUCAGCAGCCGCGGUAAAACGUAGGAGGCGAGCGUUAUCCGGAUUUACUGGGUGUAAAGCGCGUGCAGGCGGUUUGUUAAGUUGGGUGUGAAAGCUCCUGGCUCAACUGGGAGAGGUCGCUCAAGACUGGCAGACUGGAGAGCAGUAGGGGAAGGUGGAAUUCCGGGUGUAGUGGUGAAAUGCGUAGAUAUCCGGAGGAACACCAGUGGCGAAGGCGGCCUUCUGGACUGCAUCUGACGCUCAGACGCGAAAGCUAGGGGAGCAAACGGGAUUAGAGACCCCGGUAGUCCUAGCCGUAAACGAUGUGAACUUGGCGCUGGACGGGUAAAACCGAUCAGUGCCGUAGCUAACGCGAUAAGUUCACCACCUGGGGACUACGGCCGCAAGGUUAAA